rnacentral:rRNA from 1 species
CCUACGGGCGGCAGCAGUGAGGAAUAUUGGUCAAUGGGCGCGAGCCUGAACCAGCCAAGUCGCGUGAGGGAGGACGGCCCUACGGGUUGUAAACCUCUUUUGCCGGGGAGCAACGGGCGCCACGUGUGGCGUCACUGAGAGUACCCGGAGAAAAAGCAUCGGCUAACUCCGUGCCAGCAGCCGCGGUAAUAAGGAGGAUGCGAGCGUUAUCCGGAUUUAUUGGGUUUAAAGGGUGCGUAGGCGGAUCGUUAAGUCAGUGGUCAAAUUGAGGGGCUCAACCCGGGCCGGCCGUUGAAACUGGGGAUCUUGAGUGGGCGAGAAGUAUGCGGAAUGCGUGGUGUAGCGGUGAAAUGCAUAGAUAUCACGCAGAACUCCGAUUGCGAAGGCAGCAUACCGGCGCCCGACUGACGCUGAGGCACGAAAGCGUGGGGAUCGAACAGGAUUAGAUACCCCAGUAGUC